rnacentral:rRNA from 1 species
AUGCGUAGGAAUCUACCUAGUAGUAUGGAAUAGCCAUUAGAAAUGAUGGGUAAUACUGUAUAAUCCCUGCGGGGGAAAGAUUUAUCGCUAUUAGAUGAGCCUACGUUAGAUUAGCUAGUUGGUAAGGUAAUGGCUUACCAAGGCUAUGAUCUAUAGCUGGUCUGAGAGGACGAUCAGCCACACUGGAACUGAGAUACGGUCCAGACUCCUACGGGAGGCAGCAGUGGGGAAUAUUGGACAAUGGGCGAAAGCCUGAUCCAGCUAUGCCGCGUGAGUGAAGAAGGCCUUCGGGUUGUAAAACUCUUUCAAUAGGGAAGAUAAUGACGGUACCUAUA